rnacentral:rRNA from 1 species
UACGUAGGGGGCUAGCGUUGUCCGGAUUUAUUGGGCGUAAAGAGCGUGUAGGCGGCCAGGUAGGUCGGUUGUGAAAACUCGAGGCUCAACCUCGAGAUGUCGACCGAAACCAUCUGGCUAGAGUCCGGAAGAGGAGAAUGGAAUUCCCGGUGUAGCGGUGAAAUGCGCAGAUAUCGGGAAGAACACCCGUGGCGAAGGCGGUUCUCUGGGACGGUACUGACGCUGAGACGCGAAAGCGUGGGGAGCGAACAGG